rnacentral:lncRNA from 1 species
UUAACUCCAAUCACCAUGCAUAUUUUCCAGGGCUCUGUUUGGACUAAGGUUUACCGUAUAUGCAAAAGAGAAAAAAAAUGCUCUCUGGACUCCAACUGCCUUCUGCAGAGGAUGAGUCUUGUUAGACUACAGAGUUUCUCAAAGAAUAAGCUGAAGAUCCCUCUAACAGAAUCAAAUCAUGACUAUUAAAAAUACAUAUUCCUCAGCCAACCCCAAACCUGAUAAACCAGCAUCUGAAAUUUUAACAAGAUUUGCAGAUGGUUCUCAUGGACCCUUAUGAUAACCAUGGGCUGAAAGGGAGCAGUCUCAGGUGGUCCUUUGGUUUAUGAGGGGUACCUUGAUUGGUUUCAGAUGUGCAAUGAUAGGUCUGAAGAAGGGCUUGGGAGUAAGGCUGGAAAGAGCAGAUAUGCUCUAUAUGAUCGAGGAAGAAGAAAAUAAAAUUCUGGGGACAUUACGGUAAAAAGAAAUUUGAAAGGAAAGAUGGAAGAGAAGGAAAAAAGAGCCAUCUUGAUGGCCAGAGGUUGAAUACUGGUAGAACACGCUUUAAGAAAUCUUGAAGGGGAGGGUGGUUGAGAGGGCUUUUCAAGAAUAGGGCCCUCUGCUGUUAAAUCAAAGUUGUUUGUGCUGAAUGAAUAUCUACUUCUGGAAUUCUUUUUGUCUCUCCAGACAUCCAGUAGAAUCCACUACACAUACAGAGGCUUUUAUGAUUGGGUUGAGUUUUUAUUUGCAGAAAUCAAGGCAAGAAGGUGAACUUCAUUUCUGAACCCACACACAGUACAGAAUAGAGACAAUAUCCGGGAAAAAAAAUCAUAAACGACCAAAAAAGGAAAAACAAACAAACAAAACAUUCACAGGAGCAGAAACUUAAGCACAAGGACCCAUGUCCCUGAAAAGUUAUAAAAAUCUUUGGAUUGAGCCUGAGACUAUGUAUGGAAUGGAAGCUUGACCAAUCUACUUAAAUUUUAAGAGCAAAGUGCUCCCAGAUGCCAUGUGGGUUAUAUGAAGUCAUAUGAUCUUUUCCUUCUACUACUCAACAAAACAAACAAAAAACAAAUAAAAUGACCUUCUACAUAUUCAAACUCUUGUGCUUAGGAGAAAUUUGGCUUUGUAUUUGUUUUUAAAAUUUGCUUUAUUAGAAUCUUUUUUCCAAGGCAGUGAUUAUUUCUAACAUCUCUCUUUAGAGGUGUAGUACUUACAGUUAGACACCUUUUUAAGCUGAGGACCACAUAAAAUAAUAGGGUGACAUCUUUUUCAGGGACUAAAUUGAGCCCUGACAACCUACAAAAGGGGACCCACUUCCCACAAAUGAGUAAAGUAUUUUACCCAUGACAGAUGCAGGCCCCCAGCUGCUCCACAAGCAUAUUUAGGCCAAGUCUACUGUUUCCAUUCACUGCCCCUUUAAUUAGAGGUUUCUUAAUUGAUUUUUAAAUAAGAAUUUGGUUAUUAUCUGUGUGGGAAAAAUGAUGCACUUUAUUGUUCAACUACUAAGAUACAUAGUAGUAAUGCUGCUUUUGGUUACAAUUUUUUUUAACAUGAGAAUGGAAUAAACUUCAGAGAAUAUUUGGUAAAGGAGAACUUAAAGCUAAGAAGUUGCAAUUUUUCACCCAGUUUCAAAUUUGUUC